rnacentral:rRNA from 1 species
GACGAACGCUGGCGGCGUGCCUAAUACAUGCAAGUAGAACGCUGAGGAGAGGAGCUUGCUCUUCUUGGAUGAGUUGCGAACGGGUGAGUAACGCGUAGGUAACCUGCCUUGUAGCGGGGGAUAACUAUUGGAAACGAUAGCUAAUACCGCAUAACAAUGGAUGACACAUGUCAUUUAUUUGAAAGGGGCAAUUGCUCCACUACAAGAUGGACCUGCGUUGUAUUAGCUAGUAGGUGAGGUAAUGGCUCACCUAGGCGACGAUACAUAGCCGACCUGAGAGGGUGAUCGGCCACACUGGGACUGAGACACGGCCCAGACUCCUACGGGAGGCAGCAGUAGGGAAUCUUCGGCAAUGGGGGCAACCCUGACCGAGCAACGCCGCGUGAGUGAAGAAGGUUUUCGGAUCGUAAAGCUCUGUUGUAAGUCAAGAACGGGUGUGAGAGUGGAAAGUUCACACUGUGACGGUAGCUUACCAGAAAGGGACGGCUAACUACGUG